AUGGUCACUUCGGCAGCACAUAUACUAAAAUUGGAACAACGAUAUAGAGAGGAUUAGCAUGGCCACUGUGCAAGGCUGACACGCAAAUUUGUGAAGUGUUCCAUAUUUUU